rnacentral:rRNA from 1 species
AAUAUCCCAUAAUAUUUUGAAUGGCAUCAUUUAAAAUUGAAAGCUCCGGCGGAUAGAGAUGGGCACGCGCAAGAUUAGAUAGUUGGCGGGGUAACGGCCCACCAAGUCAAUGAUCUUUAGGGGGCCUGAGAGGGUGAUCCCCCACACUGGUACUGAGACACGGACCAGACUCCUACGGGAGGCAGCAGUGAGGAAUAUUGGACAAUGGGUGAGAGCCUGAUCCAGCCAUCCCGCGUGAAGGACGACGGCCCUAUGGGUUGUAAACUUCUUUUGUAUAGGGAUAAACCUACCCUCGUGAGGGUAGCUGAAGGUACUAUACGAAUAAGCACCGGCUAACUCCGUGCCAGCAGCCGCGGUAAUACGGAGGGUGCAAGCGUUAUCCGGAUUUAUUGGGUUUAAAGGGUCCGUAGGCGGACUCGUAAGUCAGUGGUGAAAUCUCAUAGCUUAACUAUGAAACUGCCAUUGAUACUGCGGGUCUUGAGUAAGGUAGAGGUAGCUGGAAUAAGUAGUGUAGCGGUGAAAUGCAUAGAUAUUACUUAGAACACCAAUUGCGAAGGCAGGUUACCAUGUCUUAACUGACGCUGAUGGACGAAAGCGUGGGGAGCGAACAGGAUUAGAUACCCUGGUAGUCCACGCCGUAAACGAUGCUAACUCGUUUUUGGGUUUUCGGAUUCAGAGACUAAGCGAAAGUGAUAAGUUAGCCACCUGGGGAGUACGUUCGCAAGAAUGAAACUCAAAGGAAUUGACGGGGGCCCGCACAAGCGGUGGAUUAUGUGGUUUAAUUCGAUGAUACGCGAGGAACCUUACCAAGGCUUAAAUGGGAAUUGACAGGUUUAGAAAUAGACUUUUCUUCGGACAAUUUUCAAGGUGCUGCAUGGUUGUCGUCAGCUCGUGCCGUGAGGUGUUAGGUUAAGUCCUGCAACGAGCGCAACCCCUGUCACUAGUUGCCAUCAUUCAGUUGGGGACUCUAGUGAGACUGCCUACGCAAGUAGAGAGGAAGGUGGGGAUGACGUCAAAUCAUCACGGCCCUUACGCCUUGGGCCACACACGUAAUACAAUGGCCAGUACAGAGGGCAGCUACCAGGUGACUGGAUGCGAAUCUCGAAAGCUGGUCUCAGUUCGGAUUGGAGUCUGCAACUCGACUCUAUGAAGCUGGAAUCGCUAGUAAUCGCGCAUCAGCCAUGGCGCGUGAAUACGUUCCCGGGC